rnacentral:rRNA from 2 species
CGUGCGGGAGGAGGUCUAUUGAUUGUAAACCGCUUUUGAUAGGGAAGAAGAUCUGACGGUACCUAUCGAAUCAGCAUCGGCUAACUCCGUGCCAGCAGCCGCGGUAAUACGGGGGAUGCAAGCGUUAUCCGGAAUUAUUGGGCGUAAAGCGUCCGUAGGUGGUUUUAAAAGUCUGUUGUUAAAGCGCGAGGCUUAACCUCGUACAGGCAGUGGAAACUAUAAGACUAGAGUGCGGUAGGGGUAGAGGGAAUUUCCAGUGUAGCGGUGAAAUGCGUAGAUAUUGGAAAGAACACCGGUGGCGAAGGCGCUCUACUGGGCCUGCACUGACACUGAGGGACGAAAGCUAGGGGAGCGAAAGGGAUUAGAUACCCCCCGUAAACGAUGGAAACUAGGUGUC